UUUCCAGUCAUGCGAAAUUUCAACCAUCAACAACCGAGAAGCACGCUGAAAUGUUUACGGCGAGGCUCAUUGAUGCUACUCUAUGUACUCGGAAAUAUGAAGCUAAUGAACGUUAACUGAAWCCUUAUARCGGAGACGUUAAAUUAGUAAUUAGCUAUAUAUAACAUUUUUAAUAGCUAAAAACGAUUUAUUAGGUAGUUUCUUGUGUUAAUGGAACUUCCAUGUAGCAGUUGUUAAGUUUAAGGGAAACGUUUUAGAUACAAAGUUUAGAGCAAACAUGUCAUCUUCGAUAGUAGUUCCUGUAAUUGAUGUCCAUAGCAACAAUUUCAAAGAGCUAUGGCCAGCCAUGGUGGUUGCAAUUAAAACAUCAUCCUUCAUUGCUCUUGACACGGAGCUGAGUGGUCUGGGAAACAGAAAGUCCCUGUUGGCUGAAUCAAUAGAGGACAGAUACAAAGCAAUAUGUCACGCUGCUCGCUCUCGCUCCAUCCUUUCUUUGGGAAUUGCGUGUUACAAGAAGCUGGAC